rnacentral:rRNA from 1 species
UAGCUAGUUGGUGGGGUAGGGCCUACCAAGGCGACGAUCGGUAGNUGGUCUGAGAGGAUGACCAGCCACACUGGAACUGAGACACGGUCCAGACUCCUACGGGAGGCAGCAGUGGGGAAUAUUGGACAAUGGGGGCAACCCUGAUCCAGCAAUGCCGCGUGUGUGAAGAAGGCCUGAGGGUUGUAAAGCACUUUCAGUGGGGAGGAGGGUUGAUAGGUUAAGAGCUAAUUAACUGGACGUUACCCACAGAAGAAGCACCGGCUAACUCCGUGCCAGCAGCCGCGGUAAUACGGAGGGUGCGAGCGUUAAUCGGAAUUACUGGGCGUAAAGGGUGCGUAGGUGGUUGAUUAAGUUAUCUGUGACAUUCCUGGGCUUAACCUGGGACGGUCAGAUAAUACUGGUUGACUCGAGUAUGGGAGAGGGUAGUGGAAUUUCCGGUGUAGCGGUGAAAUGCGUAGAGAUCGGAAGGAACACCAGUGGCGAAGGCGGCUACCUGGCCCAAUACUGACACUGAGGCACGAAAGCGUGGGGAGCAAACAGGAUUAGAUACCCUGGUAGUCCACGCUGUAAACGCUGUCGACUAGCUGUUGGUUAUAUGAAAAUAAUUAGUGGCGC